rnacentral:rRNA from 3 species
GCCCCUUACGCCUUGGGCUACACACGUACUACAAUGGCCGGGACAAAGAGUCGCAAGCAUGCGAAUGCAAGCUAAUCUCAUAAACCCGGUCUUAGUUCAGAUUGCAGGCUGCAACUCGCCUGCAUGAAGGCGGAAUCGCUAGUAAUCGCAGGUCAGCAUACUGCGGUGAAUACGUUCCCGGGCCUUGUACACACCGCCCGUCACACCAUGGAAGCUGGUCACGCCCGAAGUCGUUAUCUCAACCCGCAAGGGAGGGAGGCGCCUAAGGCAGGGCUGGUGACUGGGGUGAAGUCGUAACAAGGUAGCCGUACCGGAAGGUGCGGCUGGAUCACCUCCUUA